ACUGGGCACGAAUCUUGAAGCGCGCAGCAGAGGCACCGUGCCUCCUUUUUAUUCUCCGUGAGCUGCGCAACAGAGAGGCAGAGGGGAGAGGGAGGAGGAGGUGAGUAGUGCGCCGUUACCGAGGGCGGGCAUGCUUCCUCCUCUUCUCCUUUACCACCUCCUACGCCGACGAGUUCUGCCGUCGGAAGUGAGCGCUCUACGUCCUGGCUUAUCUCGGGACUUGACCGCCGACCCUCCUCUUCCUCCUUUUGCAGGAGAUCUAGGGCGCAUCCACAUUAUACCAAUUAGUGAAGCUACAGAUUGGAUAUGGCCUGAACCAGCGGACGUCACAUUCUUUGCCAAGGCAGCUGCUUGGCCACCAUACUACAUCCGAGGGGAGUUGGCCGGUAUCUAGUUGCAAUAAGACUGAGUCAGGGCAAUUCAAAGCCUAAGGCCACCUGCAUGCUUGAAAUGAAAUAUGCACUGCUGUUUUAUCAACUUGAAAGCAGAAAUCUCUUUGAAUCUGUAACAUAGUCUCCUGCUUUAGACUACUCGUUCUUGUUGCUACUGGUGAUUGGUUUUGCAAUCUUCAACAUGUAUGGAAGAUGCUUCAUUACAUCCAUUUCAAUGUAGAAUGCUAUAUGACUUCAUGUAUUAUACUUAAAAAUCUCAAUAAACUGAACGAGCUGCCCCCGGAAUUGUGCUA